CCUAUAGGGACAAAGGUGACUAAGAGG
rnacentral:piRNA from 1 species